ACUCGGCAAGCUCGCGUGCACGAGAAAGCUAGCCAACUGAAAGAACGGCUGUAGAAGCGCGCGGCUUCCCGCGCAGUUCCACGCUUGCAAAUCGCCGUUUGUGCGUUCUGCAGUUUGUACUGUUCUCCCGGACAGUCACGGCGUGCCUGUGUGGGUGUAGCUGCGGUGUGGACUGCAGAAAUGAAGCCUGCCAGGGGGAAAACGCCGAAAAAGAAGGGUCCCUCCAGGCCGGCAUCCACGGAAGCGCAAGACCCGGUUGAAGUGUACUGCCGCAUCCGACCGUUGCACAAUCCCACCGACGUCCCUGUCGUGCGCGUCAUUGACAACAAAAUUGUCCAGCUUGAACCCCAGGAAACCAAUGGGCAGUCAAGGAAUAUACAGAAGCAGUACCGGUACACAUUCAAGUGUGUGUUCGACACCGAUGCAUCGCAGCAAGAGUUAUUCGAGCAUGUUGGCCUGCCCUUGGUCAGCGAUCUUCUACACGGGAAGCCCGGGCUUCUCUUCACCUAUGGAAUUACAUCGUCCGGCAAGACCUACACCAUGACAGGGCACCCGCAGGACGGAGGCAUCCUGCCACGAUGCUUGGACGUGGUGUUCAACUCCAUCGGGGAAUAUCAAGCUCGGAAAUAUGUUUUCAAACCGGACAAGCUCAAUGGCUACGACACACAGACAAUGGCUGAGGCAAUGGCCGAGUACCAACAGGACAUCAUGCCUCACACGCCAAAGCCGCCGAAAAUAAGGAGGAGGGACGAUGAUGGAGUGGACUGGACAAGUCGCACGCACGAGACCGCCAAAGUAGACGAUGUCGACGCUGACAUGGCAUAUGCAGUGUUUGUCUCGUACAUUGAGAUCUACAAUAAUUAUGUGUACGACCUCCUGGAGGACAAUCCAAUAGAUCCUCUGAAGACAAAACAGCUGCAGUCAAAGAUGCUACGUGAGGACUCCAAGCGCUGCGUCUAUGCCUUCGGGGUGACUGAGGUCGAAGUGAAGAGCGCAGACGAGGCAUUCGACGCCUGGUGUCGGGGACAGAAGCGCAAGCGCAUCGCUCACACCGCCCUCAAUGCGGAGUCCAGCAGGAGCCACAGCAUCUUCAACAUCCGGCUCGUUCAAGCGCCACUCGAUGCUCAGGGCCUGGACAUCUUGCAGGACAAGAAUGCGCUGAUCAUCAGUCAGCUUUCGCUCGUGGACCUCGCCGGCAGUGAGCGCACAGACAGAACCGGCAACACUGGCCACCGGCUGAGGGAAGCAGGAAACAUCAACAAUUCUCUCAUGGUCCUACGCACGUGCAUUGAAAUUCUGAGGGAAAACCAGACAACUGGGUCCAAUAAGAUGGUGCCCUACAGAGAUGCAAAGAUCACCCAUCUCUUCAAGAACUUCUUUGAUGGUGAAGGCAAAGUGCGGAUGAUUGUCUGUCUGAACCCGCGGCCAGACGACUACGAUGAGACCUUUCACGUGAUGAAAUUUGCGGAGAUGGCUCAGGAGGUCCUGGUCCCGUGCUCCACACCGACAACACCCGCCGCAACGCUCAAUCUGCGUACCGGUCGCAGGCGGCCCAUCUUGCCGCGUACAGCAAAGUUCGGCGGCAGCCUGAAAGAGCUUUCCACAAUGCCACCUCCAGAAACGCCAAGGGAGGUGAUCCGCAUGCCGGAGCUGCAGAACUACUUGCUUACGGAUCCCUCUGAUGGCGAAGUUCUGCGGCGAAUGGAGGAGUGGCUGUCCCAGACGAUCAUGCUCAGGAAGGAGACCAAAGCAAGCGACUUGGCCCUGGUUGAUGACCUCAGGAGGCAGAUCAUACAGAUGGAAGCUGAGAAUGGGGUGUUGAAAGAGGAGCACAAGGUACUGCGGAUGGACCUCAAGGCUCGGGAGCAGCAGGUGAUUCUGCUCGAGAAGAAACUGUCCAACGCGGAGCAGUCCGUCCAAGCCCUCAACCUCGAGCUGGAAGGCAUGUUUCGCCAGAAGAAGACUGUGGAGAACAUGCUGGAUGAAAAGCAGAUGCAGCUGAACAAGGAGGCCAUGGAGAAAGUCCAGAUGCAUCACCGGAUGCAGGAGCAGAUCCAGCUGGAGAGGGAGAGGAUGAAGCGGGCCAUGAACCAGCUGCUUGCCGACAAGCAGGCCGAACUGGAGGCCAAGCUUAGCGUGAACCACGAGAAGUUCCGCAUCCUGCGUGAAGUGCUCAACGGGGCAGACUGGGACGCGCCCGAGCCGUCUGCACCUCCCGCACCAGCGGAGAGCGGCGUGAUGACCCGCUCUGCUGCUGCCAGAGUAUCGGCAACCGGAAUGUUAUCAUCGACUUCCGAGCCCAGGCUUUGUGGCACGCCAAAGACCACCAUGCCUCCAGUGAUGCGCCACAGGCGCUCCAGAUCUUCUGGUGCCGAGAUGUGGGUGGACCACAAGCCGGCCGGUACUGUCGACACCGGCUCGGUGAUGCAGCCGGUGAUGAAGAAAAAGAAGUCGGUGGGCAAGCUGGGUGUGAAGGAUGUCACCAAGGGGGCGUCCAAGUACGCGCUCUUGCACCAGGAACAGGACGCAGGUGGUGACGUGGAAGAACAGCUCUACAAGGGAGACGUCAUCCCUUCCAUGACCGGUGGGGCCCAAGUUGUCUUCAGCGAGGUGGAGACAGUGAAGCAUUUGUCGCCAACUUCAAGUCAGCUCAGGUGUAAUCAGUCAGAAGAAGCGAAGCAGUGGACGGGCAGUGCGUGAUGACGAUGAGGACUACGUGUCGGCUCGUUGCUCAGUGUCAGUUGAAGGUCACGCACAUCCUUCUGUGAUAAAACGAUCAAGAGUGUGAAUACUUUGGACCUGCUGCAUCAACCUGUGCCAAUCUCACUGCUGUAUAUAACUGCAAGAACGAGUGUAUCUUAGCGAUUCGCAAAUAUUUUUAUGCUUCAAAUAAAGCGUUUUUAGGACAAAAGUG